UACGGGGGGGGCAAGCGUUGUUCGGAAUUACUGGGCGUAAAGGGCACGUAGGCGGCUUUGUAAGUUAGAGGUGAAAGCCCGGGGCUCAACUCCGGAAUUGCCUUUAAGACUGCAUCGCUAGAAUUGUGGAGAGGUAAGUGGAAUUCCGAGUGUAGAGGUGAAAUUCGUAGAUAUUCGGAAGAACACCAGUGGCGAAGGCGACUUACUGGACACAUAUUGACGCUGAGGUGCGAAAGCGUGGGGAGCAAACAGG
rnacentral:rRNA from 1 species